CCUACGGGUGGCAGCAGUGAGGAAUAUUGGUCAAUGGGCGCGAGCCUGAACCAGCCAAGCAGCGUGAAGGAUGACUGCCCUACGGGUUGUAAACUUCUUUUAUAAAGGAAUAAAGUGAGGCACGUGUGUCUUUUUGUUUGUACUUUAUGAAUAAGGAUCGGCUAACUCCGUGCCAGCAGCCGCGGUAAUACGGAGGAUCCGAGCGUUAUCCGGAUUUAUUGGGUUUAAAGGGAGCGUAGGUGGGUUGUUAAGUCAGUUGUGAAAGUUUGCGGCUCAACUGUAAAAGUGCAUUUGAUACUGGCAGUCUUGAGUACAGAUGAGGUAGGCGGAAUGCGUGGUGUAGCGGUGAAAUGCUUAGAUAUCACGAAGAACUCCGAUUGCGAAGGCAGCUUACUAAACUGCCACUGACAUUGAUGCUCGAAAGUGUGGGUAGCAAACAGGAUUAGAUACCCGAGUAGUC
rnacentral:rRNA from 1 species